AGGGCUGAUGGACACAGUGGCUGGUUGUCUCUUGCGAGGGCCAGUUGCUACCGGUUUUAAUGCACCUUAAUGCAUCUUUUUCUGGUAAAGUGAACAAAAAUUACAGUUGGUCUCCCUGCACAUUUCUGCUGUGCGUCUGGGCUACUGGAGCAGCCCAUGACAGCACCCAGCCGUUAUCAUGCAGAUUAGAAUCAGCGCUGGGAAACUAUCCAGCUGAAAGAGAUGGCAUGAGUGAUGUGAGCAGUACCAGGAGGGGACCUAUAAAGGCCUUCAGCACUAUAUGCCUUAAGCUUGGAGAAGAACUAGCCCUCCAGUGGCCAGUAAUGCAUUCAGAUGGAAGCUGAAGGAGGACACCAAUCACAGAGGGAAUAAAAUGGCACAAUGUUCUCACCUUUCUGGCAAAGCAGCCAGACUAUGAAUUAUGACAAUAAGAUAAUUAAUUGUCUGAGAACUGAUCUGGCUAUUUAUACAUCUACUUUCCAUACUGUGGUUUUAGAGGGUUAAUCAUCUUAAUGGUCUAACUGAGGACGCUUAUGGGAAUUACAUUUGCUUUUGGAACUAAACUUAUCAUACACUUGAAGGCCCCAGGACUGAAUUUCGGAGCACCUAAUAUAAACCAUAUCCAGCUGAAUUUAAAUUGAUUCUUAAUUGAAAUUUGGGAAUGCUGGUUCUAAAUUGUGUGAUUGUAAAUGCUUUUCUUAUUCUAUUUUGAACACACUAACAGAAACACAAGUGCAACAAAGGUUUAACAUUAUGCUCGCUAUCCCUUACAGCACACGAUAGAUAUUCACAGCUGUGUGCCCUUUGCAAGUCUAAAAAUGUAAAACACGUUACGCGUUGUAAGAAUGAGAUGUCAAGAAUGCACAUGGUCAUCAUGUCAAAGAUGGGCAGUGGCCAUACAUUAUUUUGUACAAUAAUAAAAAGCAGCAGAUGUAUGACUGCUGGUUAUUGUC